AGAGUUUGAUCAUGGCUCAGAAUGAACGCUGGCGGCGUGCUUUACACAUGCAAGUCGAGCGAGGCGUGUAGCAAUACACAGUCGAGCGGCGAACGGGUGAGUAACGCGUGGAUUAUCUGCCCUGAGGUGGGGGAUAACCCGGGGAAACUCGGGCUAAUACCGCAUAUGACCGUGAGGUCAAAGGGGGGUCGCAAGAUCUCUCGCCAUAGGAGGAGUCUGCGUUCGAUUAGCUAGUUGGUAGGGUAAUGGCCUACCAAGGCGACGAUCGAUAGCCGGCCUGAGAGGGUGAUCGGCCACACUGGAACUGAGACACGGUCCAGACUCCUACGGGAGGCAGCAGUGGGGAAUUUUGCGCAAUGGGCUAACGCCUGACGCAGCAACGCCGCGUGGAGGAUGAAGGUCCUUGGAUUGUAAACUCCUGUCAGCAGGGAAAAAGCAACCUGACCUCAUACGUUAGGAAGUUGAUUGUACCUGCAGAGGAAGCCCCGGCUAACUCUGUGCCAGCAGCCGCGGUAAUACAGAGGGGGCAAGCGUUAUUCGGAAUUAUUGGGCGUAAAGGGCGCGUAGGCGGCUUGGCAAGUGGAUGGUGAAAUCCCUCGGCUUAACCGAGGAACUGCCAUCCAGACUGCUUUGCUUUGAGGCCGGGAGAGGUGAGUGGAAUUCCCAGUGUAGCGGUGAAAUGCGUAGAUAUUGGGAGGAACACCAGUGGCGAAGGCGGCUCACUGGACCGGUUCUGACGCUGAGGCGCGAAAGCGUGGGGAGCAAACGGGAUUAGAUACCCUAGUAGUCC
rnacentral:rRNA from 1 species